rnacentral:rRNA from 1 species
AUUGAACGCUGGCGGCAUGCCUUACACAUGCAAGUCGAACGGUAGCGGGCCUUCGGGUGCCGACGAGUGGCGAACGGGUGAGUAAUGUAUCGGAACGUACCUUUCAGGGGGGGAUAACGUAGCGAAGGUUGCGCUAAUACCGCAUAUUCUGUGAGCAGGAAAGCAGGGGAUCGCACGACCUUGUGCUGAUUGAGCGGCCGAUGUCAGAUUAGCUAGUUGGUGAGGUAAAGGCUCACCCAGGCGACGAUCUGGAGCGGGUCUGAGAGGAUGAUCCGGCACACUGGAACUGAGACACGGUCCAGACUCCUACGGGAGGCAGCAGUGGGGAAUUUUGGACAAUGGGGGCAACCCUGAUCCAGCCAUGCCGCGUGAGUGAAGAAGGCCUUCGGGUUGUAAAGCUCUUUCGGCCGGGAAGAAAUCGCACGGGCUAAUACCCUGUGUGGAUGACGGUACCGGAAUAAGAAGCACCGGCUAACUACGUGCCAGCAGCCGCGGUAACAC